GGGGCUGUAGCUCAGUUGGUAGAGCGCUACAAUGGCAUUGUAGAUGUCGUCGGUUCGAGCCCGAUCAGCUCCACCA
rnacentral:tRNA from 1 species